rnacentral:misc_RNA from 1 species
CAACCCUCAAGCUCCGGCUUGGUGUUGGGGAUCGGCAGCCCGGCUUCGCGCCGUCGCUGUCCCCCAAAUGCAAUGGCGGUCACGCUGUAGCUUCCUAUGCGUAGUAGCACACCUCGCACUGGAAAGCAGCGCGGCCACGCCGUAAAGCCCCCAACUUUUUGU